GAUGCAGAACGCAGCGAAAUGCGAUACGUAAUGUGAAUUGCAAAUUCAGUGAAUCAUCGAGUCUUUGAACGCACAUUGCGCCCCCUGGUAUUCCGGGGGGCAUGCCUGUCCGAGCGUCAUUGCUGCCCUCAAGCACGGCUUGUGUGUUGGGCCCCGUCCUCCGAUCCCGGGGGACGGGCCCGAAAGGCAGCGGCGGCACCGCGUCCGGUCCUCGAGCGUAUGGGGCUUUGUCACCCGCUCCGUAGGCCCGGCCGGCGCUUGCCGAUCAACCCAAAUUUUUAUCCAGGUUGACCUCGGAUCAGGUAGGGAUACCCGCUGAACUUAAGCAUAUCAAUAAGCGGAGGA
rnacentral:misc_RNA from 1 species